rnacentral:rRNA from 1 species
CGGAAACGGACGCUAAUACCGCAUACGUCCUACGGAGAAAGCAGGGGACCGUUCGGGCCUUGCGCUAUCAGAUGAGCCUAGGUCGGAUUAGCUAGUUGGUGGGGGUAAAUGGGCUCACCAAGGCGACGAUCCGUAACUGGUCUGAGAGGAUGAUCAGUCACACUGGAACUGAGACACGGUCCAGACUCCUACGGGAGGCAGCAGUGGGGAAUAUUGGGACAAUGGGCGAAAGCCUGAUCCCAGCCCAUGCCGCGUGUGUGAAGAAGGUCUUCGGAUUGUAAAGCACUUUAAGUUGGGAGGAAGGGUUGUAGAUUAAUACUCUGCAAUUUUGACGUUACCGACAGAAUAAGCACCGGCUAACUCUGUGCCCAGCAGCCGCGGGUAAAUA